AUACGGAGGAUCCGAGCGUUAUCCGGAUUUAUUGGGUUUAAAGGGUGCGCAGGCGGCCGUGCAAGUCAGCGGUGAAAGCCCGGGGCUCAACCCCGGAAGUGCCGUUGAUACUGCAUGGCUGGAAUGCGGUCGAGGCGGGCGGAACGUGGCGUGUAGAGGUGAAAAGCGUAGAUAUGGCACAGAAAGCCGAUAGCGGAGGGAGCUCGCCAGGCCUGCAUUGACGCUCGGGCACGAAAGCGUGGGGAUCGAACAGGAUUAGAUACCCUGGUAGUCCACGCCGUAAACGAUGGGCGCUCGUCGUCGGCGGCAGACAGUCGGCGGCCAAGCGAAAGCGAUAAGCGCCCCACCUGGGGAGUACGGUCGCAAGGCUGAAACUCAAAUGAAUUGACGGGG
rnacentral:rRNA from 1 species